GACUGCCUUCAGGAACUGCACUCACGGACGUAUCACUACUUUGUGUUGGGAGUCUUCUGCUCUUAAGGUGGACCGGUAACUAAGCACCGUGGUGGGGAUAGAAACCAGUGCAUUAUUCCUAAAGUCAAAGAGAGGCUAGAUUCUUUUGAGGGCACUAAUCCUAAUACAAGAUACAUACUAAAAAAAGACUUGAUCAAGGAGGAUUUGGAGAAGUUUGGGUGGCUUUUCAUAGAAACAACCUUCAACAAAUUUGGAAUAUGGUGUAAAGAACAUCUACAUUGUAAAGCACAUAAUGG